rnacentral:rRNA from 1 species
AAUGAACGUUGGCGGCGUGGAUUAGGCAUGCAAGUCGUACGGGUCGGUGUAGCAAUACAACGGCAAGUGGCGAAAGGGAGAGUAACACGUAGAUACCUACCCUCUGGUCGGGGAUACCGCGGCAUAACCGCAAGUAAUACCCGAUAAAAUCUCCGGAUCAAAGGUGUGAUUCCGCCGGAUGAGGGGUCUGCGUUCUAUCAGCUUGUUGGUGAGGUAAUGGCUCACCAAGGCUAAGACGGAUACGGGGUGUGAGAGCAUGCCCCCGCUCACUGGGACUGAGACACUGCCCAGACACCUACGGGUGGCUGCAGUCGAGAAUCUUCGGCAAUGGGCGCAAGCCUGACCGAGCGACGCCGCGUGCGGGAUGAAGGCCUUCGGGUUGUAAACCGCUGUCGAGGGGAAUGAAGUGUAGGUGGGUACUCCCAUCUAUUUGACAGAUCCCUGGAGGAAGCAUGGGCUAAGUUCGUGCCAGCAGCCGCCGUAACAC